GACGAACGCUGGCGGCGUGCCUAAUACAUGCAAGUCGAGCGAUGAAGGUUGGUACUUGUUCCGCCUGGAUGAGCAGCGAACGGGUGAGUAACGCGUGGGGAAUCUGCCUUUGAGCGGGGGACAACUUCUGGAAACGAAUGCUAAUACCGCAUAAAAACUUUAACCACAUGUUUUAAGUUUGAAAGAUGCAAUUGCAUCACCCAAAGAUGAUCCCGCGUUGUAUUAGCUAGUUGGGUAGGUUAACGCUUAACAAGGCGAAGAUUCAUAGCCGGCCUGGGAAGGUGAACAGCCCAAAUGGGAAUUGGGAACCGCCCAAAACCCUAACGGAGGCAACAGUAGGGAAAUUUUGGCAAAUGAGGGAAGGCUGGCCGAGCAACGGCGCGGGAGUUGAUGAAGGUUUCGGAUCGGAAAACUCUUUUUGUAGGGGAGAACGAUAGGUGUAAGUAAAAACGCAUCAAGUGACGGUAACUACCCAGAAAGCGACGGCUAACUACGUG
rnacentral:rRNA from 1 species